UCUGGUGUCAGCCGCCGCGGUAAAACCAGCACCUCAAGUGGUCAGGAUGAUUAUUGGGCCUAAAGCAUCCGUAGCCGGCUCUGUUAGUUUUCGGUUAAAUCUGUACGCUUAACGUACAGGCUGCCGGGAAUACUGCAGAGCUAGGGAGUGGGAGAGGUAGACGGUACUCGGUAGGAAGGGGUAAAAUCCUUUGAUCUAUUGAUGACCACCUGUGGCGAAGGCGGUCUACCAGAACACGUCCGACGGUGAGGGAUGAAAGCUGGGGGAGCAAACCGGAUUAGAUACCCGGGUAGUCCCAGCUGUAAACUAUGCAAACUCAGUGAUGCAUUGGCUUGUGGCCAAUGCAGUGCUGCAGGGAAGCCGUUAAGUUUGCCGCCUGGGAAGUACGUACGCAAGUAUGAAACUUAAAGGAAUUGGCGGGGGAGCACCACAAGGGGUGAAGCCUGCGGUUCAAUUGGAGUCAACGCCAGGAAUCUUACCCGGAGAGACAGCAGAAUGAAGGUCAAGCUGAAGACUUUACCAGACAAGCU
rnacentral:rRNA from 2 species